rnacentral:misc_RNA from 1 species
CCUUUUGGACUCUCUAUGAUUGGCAUGGACUGGGGGGCGACCUCAGCAUCUUAAUCAUAGACAGUUUAACAAGUACAAGUAGUGAGAGGAGUUGAGUGAAUCAAGAACGAAGUAUAAGGGAUCAAAAAUGAGAGCCAGACUUGGUGUUGCCAAGUUCUCGACUGAUGGCCUUGGUUGAGAUUCUCAAAGCUACAAGUUGGAAGGAUGGACUGGGGGAGACAAGAGGUCUCUGGCAGGGCGGUUGAGGACUAGACCAGGCCCCUUUGGACAGGAGCAAGGCCUCAGAGGUAGGCGGACGGUGCUGUCAGAGGCUGAGGUCUCGAUGUGAAGUCAGAGUUGAGAGCUGGCAGGCUUGGGUCUGUACCGGUGAGCAUACUAGGAGCUGCAAAGACCAAGUAUGAGUGCUGGUGAGCCUAAGUCUGCCUGCUCUCGUGUGUGUCCUUCCAAGAGCGACAGGCUUAUAGGGGCUGUUCUGACAUACUGUC